UGCAGCUCUGGAGAGGAGCCCAGUCCUGAUGCCCAGGUGUUUCCUCUCAGUGAUCAGGACUGAGCAAAGACAGCACAUCAUACAGCUUGCACUGAGUUGGGUUUUCCUCGUUGCUGUUUUAAAAGGUGUCCAGGCUGAGGUGCAGCUGGUGGAGUCCGGCAGAGGCUUGGUGCAGCCUGAGGGGUCCCUGAGACUCACUUGUGCAGCCUCUGGAUUCACCUUCAGCGACUACUACAUGGACUGGAUCCGCCAGGCUCCAGGGAAGGGGCUGGAGUGGGUUGGUUUUAUUAGAAACAAGGCUAAUAGUCACACAACAGAAUACGCUACGUCUGUGAAAGGCAGAUUCACCAUCUCCAGAGAUGACUCCAAAAGCACAGUGUAUCUUCAAAUGACCAAAUUGAAAACCGAGGACACGGCCAUGUAUUACUGUGCAAGAGACACAGUGAGAGGACAUCAUUGA